rnacentral:rRNA from 1 species
UACGAAGGGGGCUAGCGUUGUUCGGAUUUACUGGGCGUAAAGCGCACGUAGGCGGAUCGAUCAGUCAGGGGUGAAAUCCCAGAGCUCAACUCUGGAACUGCCUUUGAUACUGUCGAUCUGGAGUAUGGAAGAGGAGGGCGGAAUUCCCGGUGUAGAGGUGAAAUUCGUAGAUAUCGGGAGGAACACCAGUGGCGAAGGCGGCUCUCUGGACCAGUUCUGACGCUGAGACGCGAAAGCGUGGGGAGCGAACAGG